GACGAACGCUGGCGGCGUGCCUAGUACAUGCAAGUUGAGCGCUGAAGGUUGGUACUUGUACCGACUGGAUGAGCAGCGAACGGGUGAGUAACGCGUGGGGAAUCUGCCUUUGAGCGGGGGACAACAUUUGGAAACGAAUGCUAAUACCGCAUAAAAACUUUAAACACAAGUUUUAAGUUUGAAAGAUGCAAUUGCAUCGCUCAAAGAUGAUCCCGCGUUGUAUUAGCUAGUUGGUGAGGUAAAGGCUCACCAAGGCGAUGAUACAUAGCCGACCUGAGAGGGUGAUCGGCCACAUUGGGACUGAGACACGGCCCAAACUCCUACGGGAGGCAGCAGUAGGGAAUCUUCGGCAAUGGACGAAAGUCUGACCGAGCAACGCCGCGUGAGUGAAGAAGGUUUUCGGAUCGUAAAACUCUGUUGGUAGAGAAGAACGUUGGUGAGAGUGGAAAGCUCAUCAAGUGACGGUAACUACCCAGAAAGGGACGGCUAACUACGUG
rnacentral:rRNA from 1 species